rnacentral:rRNA from 2 species
AGCGAUGAAACUUUAACAGAACCCUUCGGGGCGAAGAUAAAGUGGAUUAGCGGCGGACGGGUGAGUAACACGUGAGUAACCUGCCUUAGACAUUGGGAUAGCCUCGGGAAACCGGGAUUAAUACCAAAUAAAAUCAUAAUGACACAUGUCAUAACGAUCAAAACUCCGGUGGUCUAAGAUGGACUCGCGUCCCAUUAGCUAGUUGGUAGAGUAAAAGCCUACCUAGGCGACGAUGGGUAGCCGGCCUGAGAGGGUGAACGGCCACAUUGGAACUGAGAAACGGUCCAAACUCCUACGGGAGGCAGCAGUGGGGAAUAUUGCACAAUGGAGGGAACUCUGAUGCAGCGACGCCGCGUGAACGAAGAAGGCUUUCGAGUCGUAAAGUUCUUUUAUAUGGGAAGAUAAUGACGGUACCAUAAGAAAAAGCCCCGGCUAACUACGUGCCAGCAGCCGCGGUAAUACGUAGGGGGCUAGCGUUGUCCGGAAUCACUGGGCGUAAAGGGUUCGCAGGCGGAAAUGCAAGUCAGAUGUAAAAGGCAGUAGCUUAACUACUGUAAGCAUUUGAAACUGCAUAUCUUGAGAAGAGUAGAGGUAAGUGGAAUUUUUAGUGUAGCGGUGAAAUGCGUAGAUAUUAAAAAGAAUACCGGUGGCGAAGGCGACUUACUGGG